GACGGAGGAUGCAAGCGUUAUCCGGAAUGAUUGGGCGUAAAGCGUCCGCAGGUGGCAGUUCAAGUCUGCUGUCAAAGACCGGGGCUUAACUUCGGAAAGGCAGUGGAAACUGAACAGCUAGAGUAUGGUAGGGGCAGAGGGAAUUCCUGGUGUAGCGGUGAAAUGCGUAGAUAUCUGGAGGAACACCGGUGGCGAAGGCGGCAUCCUGGACCGGCAUUGACGCUGAGGCGCGAAAGCCAGGGGAGCAAACGGG
rnacentral:rRNA from 1 species